CACAUCAAGGCAGAGGUGGGAACCCCCACAAUCCCCACAGGCCCCUCUUUGUCUGAAAGGGCCAGAAGACUCUUCUUCCUCCACGGAAGCCUUUGGGGACUGCAGGGUGUGUGGUGCCCGUGGCUGGGAAGGGAAUGAGUCGGGAGGGCUUUGUUUGCACUGGUACCUUCUGCCUGUGCUCUGGUCAUUUGCAGUUAUGCUGCUGUUUAUCAGACUCAUCCCUGUAAUUUGAUUUUUUUGUAUUUGUGUGUGUUUAUUUUUAUAUAUAACUUCCAGUUCCUUCCUUUUCCAACUUAUUAUCAUAAUUUUAAAACAUCUCUGCUGCUUUUGUUCUAUGUGGAUCUUUGCCCGAGCUUACUGAACUCGGUAGGCCUUCACUUAGGAACAGAUUUAACAACCAUGUUUCAUCACAUUCCUUGCUUCUUCGGGUCUUUAAUAUUUCUCAUUUAUCUCUACUAGGUUACUAGAUUUUCACUGAAAUCCAAACAAGGUUUGCCUUUGGGUUUAUACCCUGUAAAAAAAAGUGAGAAAAUAAAAUAUAUCAACAGUGAUGAUUGCUGAAUUCUAGCUACAUCUCCUUAGCUUAUAAUGAGAAGUACUUAAGAAAACGGAAAGGAUUUGGUUUAAAAAAAUAAAAAUAAACAUCAAGAAGAAUCUUAGCUGUUUUUUUCCUCUUUGGAAUUUACAACACAUUUACCCUUCCAUGUACUUCUCAGUUCUUUAAGUUGCUUUAAAUAACGGUUUUCUUUAAAUUUGAUUUUUAAUUAUUGAGCAUUAAAAUGCUUCCAUAAAGUAUCAGGUUUGGCUUUUCUAGAUUAAAACCUCAGUACUGGAUCACAACUAUAACAUCAUACUGACCCCAAAUUUCAGCUGUUAAAGGUUUUAAAACACAUGGAAAACGUGGAUGCAAAUGCAGGAUUAGACUGAGUGUUUCCAGCCCCAGUGCUCAUGUUCACCUUUAGAUUUGCAUCAUGGUAUGACAUUAUCCUUAAAAGCUAUUCUUGACCUUUUUUCCCCCAUCUAGAACCCUUUUAUUUUGCUCCACAGCAUCUUUACUCGGCGUUAAAGAUCAAAGCAAGAUUUAAAGCUUUUAUUACUUUCUAAUGUCUUCCCUUUUUGUCUGCUUUUGCACCAGGUUAUAUCUCUCAGUAGUUUCAGCAUUGCAUUUUCCAUCUGUGCUACCUUUUCCUAUUUUUUCCAUCAUUUGUUAAACAAAAUAUUCUUGUCUCUAGGGUUAAAUUCUGAACUCAGAUUUUUUUUUUUUUCUGCUCUGUGAGUUAAGGUAUUUUGUACACAGUUCCAAUUGGAGUUGCAGCAGAGAACCACGACAUCUCUUCCUCAGACUCCUAUCUUGCUGGCAAAGAGAAGCAAAUGGACAACCUGUAGUUUUGUCUUGGUGGCUUUUCAUUUUGAAAAUGAGAGAAGAGCUAAGGAAUGACUCUGAGAUUACCAAGAUGGCUCAUCAACUGCUUUAAAAUGCUUAAAAUCUUUCUGAAUCAUUUAACUGCUUAUGAUACGGCAGCCUAUAGCUUCUUUCAGAUAUAUUUGAACCAUGUCUUAUGCCUGAGACUACAGGGAAACUUCUGCUUCUCCUCCGUGCUCCUUGCUGUGCUCUGAGUGCUGCUGUGUAGCUGCAGGAAGUGCUGCUCUGGUCCUGGGCUGCAGCUGCACAGCUGGUGGCCACAUUUGGUGCUAAUGGCAUGCUUUGAAGGGACACGUCAGUAGGAGAUCAGCAUACGUAAUGCAGUGGGAGGUUUUCAGCAUCUGUACCUGCUCCACCACCUUCAGAGGCCCGAUAACCUCAGUGGCCAUGCUCAGGCAUUGCAGAGUCAAGAUGUAAGAGAGGCAAGUGGAAGCCUUGGCCCCAGUCUCAGACAACAGAUGCUGGAGACAAUAAAACCUUCUCAGAAAAGGAAGCAAUUAUUGCAGCUUUCUAGCCAACAAUUACCUUGCGCUUAUAAAUUAUGUUGAUGUCCAUGAUAUAACACACAUUGCUGAGCACAUGAUCACUGUCGUGGGCAGCCACUGGCUUCCCUGCUGAUGCCUGACACACUACUUGUAGCCCAUUUUAUUUAGCCUGCAGGACAAAGGUGCUCUAUAAAAUGAAACUGGCCUCAAAAUCAUGUAAUGUGUUGCCUGUCCCUGUGUCCCCCAGCUUCCUCUGCAAUAUUCUCCUCCAAGUCAAAGCUGUAGCCAGGUAAAUUUCACUGUCUUAAUCUGGCAUUUGCAAAUGGUGCCAGCCAAAAAGUCAUUUGCAUGGGCAAGUUUGCCAGGAUUUACUUAGGAAUUUAUAUGAAGAACUAGCACAGUACCAAAAAUGUAGUUUUCUCUCCUUUUGGGUUGCAACCUCUUUUGAAACAUCUCUCGCUGCCUUUCUGUUAUCAUUUAAUUUCCACAUGCACAAAUACAGGAUUCAUUCCCAGUUCUCUUGACUAUAACAUAUCAACCCUCUCGCUAACAUCCUUAACCUCUGCCCUGAGAAAACUAAUCAUCUCUCUUGUUAGCUCAGUCCCUUUUAGAGAUGGCAGUGCACAAAGCACACCAACACUUCUCUGCUGUAAGUAGCGAAGUGAUGCUUCUCUCUACUUGGUUUGUUCCACAGCUUCCACACUGAUUUGUGUUGUACAAUUCAAUCUUCUGAAUCACCCUUAAUGACAUCUAUUAUCUAAAAUCCAUUGGGCACCACUACUUCAAUUAAUUACACCACCUCUCUCUUUUCAUACCUGCUCUUGUACCUACCCAGUCACUGCCCUUAAUGUCAUCCUAUUUCUCCUGAGCUAAGCUUCCAAAGCACUCAUCCAGCAGCGCAGGCAGCGGGCUCUGUCCUCCCGCAGAACCGCUGAGAGUGCUCGUAAGGAGUGUUUUCUUGCCUCCUUUCCUCAAACAAAAGCAAUCCUUACAUUACAACAGGGACUGGAGGAAGGUGUUACGGGUGACACUGCCAGAGAGGGGUUCCAACCAUUCAAUUUGGAUUUAGAUACGCUGUUUGUACAGACAUGAGCUGGGAAUCUUAGUGGUCAGAUGUGCCUAAGGUUCGCCAAGAGUUGAAUUUUUACCGAGAGCAAAUGGACCUUUUGAAAAUCCCAGAUCUUUUAGCUGGUGUGUCAACAGAUAUAUUCUUCAGGGUGGUGAAUAUUCCUGUUCAAUCCUAUGCAUGGGACUUAAUCACAGUAAAGUCAUAUUUCUAGUAUAUUAGUAUAUCUUAGAGCAAUGCAACAGUCAGCCAUUCAUCAAACACAAUGAAGCAUAUUUAAGUUUUCUAGAAGCUUCCCAUUCAUGUGAUACUGAAUUAUUGACUAUUCAUAGUAGUAAAAAACAAAUGAAGCCUUUUCAGGCAGCAGAGGCUGUACAAGGAGAGCUGGUUAUUUAGAACAGGAGUGAUUUGGCAGACUCAGGAUUGUUUGUUAGAGGGCUGUCCCACAUAGGAGGUAAUUUAGAAGUCAUAUUUUAAAAAAUAAUUUUCCUAUAGAUCCUCCUCCUUCCCCAGCUGAAUGAAUUGAAAGUCAGAAUAGAGACCCAUUGAUUAUUCUGGCUUCAAGGAUCAUGAAGAGGUUAAUUAGGGACUGAUAAAAAGUUCUCUGGAGCAUGGGUCAUGUCUUUGUAUGUAUUUGCAUCAUGACUAAUACAGUGUCCCUCUGAGCCUACUGGGGAAGUGGGGUUCUUCUGUAAUGAAAAUAAUAUUAAAUACCACUUUAGAAAGUAGCAAUUUAAAAAACUUUACCUUUUGAAGACCUAUGUGCAAAUUUCUAGGGCAAUUUGAAUGCAGCAAAAAGAUUGGUUUCUCAUUUUCAUUCCUUCAGAGGGUUAUCAUCAGUGGAAGAGUUCUCCUGUACUGACAUAAAUGUAAUCUCAGACUUAGGAGGGAGCCCUGUGCAUCAAACCAGCAUGCAGACAGAAAUGUUCAUGGUUCUUCUGGGUGGUGUGUUUAGAUUUUUUUCCUCAUUGGAUCCAAGGUGCAAUGAAGUUGAUGUACCUGAAGAGGUGAGUGCAUCCUUCCACUUAUCCCACUGAGAGGAGCUUGGAACCCUGAACCUGGAGGACUUAUGGGAGACCUGCAUUUUCUCCUUGGCAAUUAUCUGCAUUUUUCAGACUCCCCUAAGGAGAUGAGGACCCCAUCCAUGGCACACAAAUCCCUCCUGUGGCAUCUGCCAACCAAUGCCUAAAAUCAAACUAAGCCGUAGCAGCAGCAGAGCAAACAUCAAGGUAGGGCUGAUCUCUGAGCAUGCUGACGGCUGGGAGAGGAGCCCGCGCUUCCCUUGAAGUUCCAACAUCAAAGAUGACAAAUAACUCCCUUCUCACUGUUCCAGUUUCUCACAUCAUCUGAGUAUCCUUUGGCAGCAACAGUUGGCCCAAGCCUUGGAGCAGCAGCUGGUAUAUUUUCCAGGAGUGAAUACGAAGAAAAAGUAAAUGCAGCCAUGCAUUUGCUUUUAAAAAACACAGUGGGCACUGUGCCCAAAACCCUUCCCAGGCUGGGCUGUGGGAUACAGCAAAUAUCUUGUGUCUCUAGGACUUACAGAGGAUUUCUGAAAGUGAAGGUGAAAAUCCUGACUCGGUAGGAGCCUGAACGACAGGUCAGUGUCUCCCAGGGGUCGGAGCCUCCCACAGUGUCUGGGUUUGCAGCCUCCUCCCAGCUCCCAUCUGCCCCACACACAGGGACCAC